AGGAUGAACGCUGGCGGCGUGCCUAAAACAUGCAAGUCAUACGGUCUACCUUCGGGUAGACAGUGGCAAACGGGUGAGUAACACGUGGGAACACGCCUUCGAGUGGGGAAUAACGCUGAGAAAUCAGUGCUAAUACCGCAUAUGGUCUAACGACUAAAGCAGUAAUGCGCUCGGAGAGUGGCCCGCGUCCGAUUAGCUAGUUGGUGGGGUAAUGGCCUACCAAGGCGGUGAUCGGUAGCUGGUCUGAGAGGAUGGUCAGCCACACUGGGACUGCGAACGGCCCAGACUCCUACGGGAGGCAGCAGUUAGGAAUUUUCGGCAAUGGACGAAAGUCUGACCGAGCGACGCCGCGUGGAGGACGAAGCCUUUCGGGGUGUUAAACUCCUUUUCUGCGGGAAGAUAAUGACGGUACCGCAGGAAUAAGCACCGGCUAACUACGUGCCAGCAGCCGC
rnacentral:rRNA from 1 species